CUACGGGCUGCUCCAGUGGGGAAUAUUGCACAAUGGAGGAAACUCUGAUGCAGCAACGCCGCGUGGAGGAUGACACUUUUCGGAGCGUAAACUCCUUUUAUAUAGGAAGAAGAUGACGGUACUAUAUGCAUAAGCGCCGGCUAACUCCGUGCCAGCAGCCGCGGUAAUACGGAGGGCGCACGCGUUACUCGGAAUCACUGGGCGUAAAGAGCGUGUAGGCGGAUUAAAAAGUCAGAAGUGAAAUCCUAUAGCUUAACUAUAGAACUGCUUCUGAAACUCUUAAUCUAGAAUAUGGGAGAGGUAGAUGGAAUUUCUGGUGUAGGGGUAAAAUCCGUAGAGAUCAGAAGGAAUACCGAUUGCGAAGGCGAUCUACUAGAACAUUAUUGACGCUGAGACGCGAAAGCGUGGGGAGCAAACAGGAUUAGAUACCCGAGUAGUC
rnacentral:rRNA from 1 species